rnacentral:rRNA from 1 species
GACGAACGCUGGCGGCGUGCUUAACACAUGCAAGUCGAACGGAAAGGCCCUGCUUUUGUGGGGUGCUCGAGUGGCGAACGGGUGAGUAACACGUGAGUAACCUGCCCUUGACUUUGGGAUAACUUCAGGAAACUGGGGCUAAUACCGGAUAGGAGCUCUUGCUGCAUGGUGGGGGUUGGAAAGUUUCGGCGGUUGGGGAUGGACUCGCGGCUUAUCAGCUUGUUGGUGGGGUAGUGGCUUACCAAGGCUUUGACGGGUAGCCGGCCUGAGAGGGUGACCGGCCACAAUGGGACUGAGAUACGGACCAGACUCCUACGGGAGGCAGCAGUGGGGAAUAUUGCACAGUGGGCGGAAGCCUGAUGCAGCAACGCCGCGUGCGGGAAGACGGCCUUCGAGUUGUAAACCGAUUUCGCCUGAGACGAAGCGUGAGUGACGGUAAUGGGUAAAGAAGCACCGGCUAACUACGUG